rnacentral:rRNA from 1 species
CAAUAGCGUAUAUUAAAGUUGUUGCAGUUAAAAAGCUCGUAGUUGGAUUUCUGGUUGAAGCGACCGGUCGGGCGUUGAUUCGUCUGCACUGGAGUCGGUUUUGGCCAUCCUCUAGGAAAGUGCGUCUGGUAUUAAGUUAUCGGGCGUAUGAUCCUGGUCUUUUACUGUGAAAAAAUUAGAGUGCUUAAAGCAGGCCUUCGCCUUGAAUACAUUAGCAUGGAAUAAUAAGAUAGGACUUUGGUCUAUUUUGUUGGUUUGCAGACCGAAGUAAUGAUUAAUAGGGAUAGUUGGGGGUAUUUAUAUUCCGAUGUCAGAGGUGAAAUUCUUAGAUUUUCGGAAGAUAAACUUAUGCGAAAGCAUUUACCAAGGAUGUUUUCAUUAA